rnacentral:rRNA from 1 species
GCUGGCAGCUAGCUCUCUGCAACUCUCCCAUGAUCACCAACUGAAGCUAAGCAAGGCUGCGCCCGGUCAGUGCCUGGAUGGAUGGGAGACCGCAUGGGAAAGCUAGGUUGCUGCCGGAA